GCCCCCAAUCCACAGCCACGCACUCCUCCCUCCUCCCUCUCAAAGCCGCCACACCCAUUCCUCCCUUCCGCCUCCCUCCCCGGAUCCCUACCACCGUCACACGGCCCACACCCACUCGUCUCCUCCUCUCGCUCUUUAGCUUCCUCCUCCUUCCUGAUCUCCGCGUCGGCCGCGGCGCGAGAGGAGCGGUGGUGGCGGCAUCGAGUUGCGAACCCCGGGACCAGGUCUGGGGGUUUGGUUCCAAGGCGCCGACGGCUUCUCCGUCUAUGACGCCGGGGGUGAGUACACACCCCAGUCCCCUCCUCCUGCGCGAACCCUACGAGAGAGAGAGAGAGAGGAAGAUGAGAGGUAGGGAGAGAGAAUGACCGGCGUCGGCCUGCACCGGCGAGGAUGGGCGCGACCUGGAGGUUAGCCGCUGCUCGAUUCGCUCCUGGAUCGGGAACUGCGUCGAAGCUGGGGUUCGGGCGCGUUGCAUGGGAGGCUGCACUCCGCCUCUUCCUCGUGGUGCGGCGGACGGCGGCUCUUACGGUCGUGCGGCCAAUGGCAGCCUCAGCGGGUGGUCGACGACACUUGCAGCUGGUGCUCUACCCAUGGAUUCCGGCACAGCUCGAAAUGCUCAGGACAAAUUAGGCCUCGGCCAAUGGUGGAGAAGACAGAGUACAGGGACAAGCCGCUGGAGCACGUGUUCAUGGGAUGUUCGUGCGCAAGAUGCAGAAGUUCGCUGGAAGGAAGAAGAGCGGGCCGGGGAGGAUGAGGAGAAGGCGGGAUGCGAGGUGCUUGCACGCGCAGCAGCAGGAGGUCGUCUGUGAGGUGCUCCUCUGGAUGCUCCCUUCCGGCGCUGGGCCUAGGUGUUCAACGCCGCCCUCACCAUCCCCUUCUUCCAUUGGCUCAUCGGCCCGUCAGAGGUUAUUGAGGUGGAGGUCAACGGUGUGAGGCGGAGAAGUGGAGUUCUCAUAAAGAAACACAUGUGUGGCUGCAGGUAAAGUUGUCAAGUUGAUCUGGUGCUUGCUUGAGCCGUUGAUUACUGCUGCUUUGCUAAGAGGAACCUUCAAUGUGUAUAGAUGGUGAUGGAUAUGGGGACACACAAGAACUAGCGAACUUAAUACCAGAUGCCCUCAACUAUGAAUUCUUUAAUUAUUGGAGGCUUUCAUAUUCAUAUCAAUACAAGUAUUUAGUUUGCAGUGUGAUGUUCCGUGAUUCCGGAUUGGGCGCACCUCGUUGUCGUGGAGAGCAUGAGUGGCUGGGUCUUCAUGGUGGGGUGGUCUGCAGGGGAGGGAAGGUUGCUGACGACAGGGGGAAGGAGGAGGCCGACGAGGAGGGUAAACAACAGGGUUAAGGGGCACAGCGAGCCCAGCAGGGGGAAAAAGCAGGGCGAGCGACGCCAGUGGGAGGAAGGAGCAGGGCGAGGCCUCGCGCAUCUGCAUGGUCAGUGGAGAUGAGGUUCUUUUGGAUUAAUGCUUCUGCCUGAUGAGUUCCUCCCCUUUUAUGUCGCAGGCUGUAAGAUCUCUGCAUGUUGCUGCUUGCUUGUUCUGCCAGUGGUUUUGCUCACUUCCUUUUCUAUUUAGCUACUGCAUUCUUUUCUUUACUAUGUGUUGUCAUGGAUAUUAGUUUGGAUUGUGUUUAUAUUCAGGAUUUGGCACAGAGUUUUGUUCUAUUUUGGCUCAUGCUUGCCGCUUGUGUGAUUGAACAUAUGGUGUUUUGUCUACUUAACCAUUUGUGUGUAGUAGUAUUCAUUUUAUCCUUGAUCAUGUGUGUAUGUACUACUGAAGUAGUUUUAAUUGAUAUAAAGGUUUUCAUGUAUUGCAGCUAUUUGACUUUGAGCAACCACAAUCUACAAGGAACAUUAGGAGUAAAUUAUAAUUUGCCAUCUCGAAAGCGUUUUGUAUGCAGAAUUGGUUAGCAUUAUCUCUAGAUACACCGUUUACUAUUAAGUAGAUAAUUUACAUGUUGUCGUGGACUAAAGGUGGUGAUGUAUACUUAUAUGCCCAUUCACAACUACUAUUAUUUAACAUGUUUCCCUUUGGGCAUCUACAAUGCUAGGAGCUUACAUAGGCGCUUAUGAAGAAAAUAAUAAAAUCUGAAGAACACCUAAGCGCCUCAUCCCUCAAUGCUAGACGCUAAUUAACUAAACAACGUAGAUGCUAAGUGCUGGAAGAAAAAUGGCCAAGCGCCGGGUGCGCGAUUUGGCGUCGACGCCAGGGUUGACACUAGGAUUACAGCCGGCAACCGCUAAUCCGCUGGGAUUACGAACCUGGCGUCGGGGCUAAGCGCCCAGCGAUGGAGAUGCCCUUAUAUCAUUGUGAAGUUGAAAUCUUUUUUUUCCUGGUCUUCUAGGUUCACAUAGUCCUCAAGGGUAUCCUUCUAUGUUGAGAUUCUAAAAAUAUUUCGAGUUAUUUCAUUUUGACUACUUCAUGCUUGAACUUGGAAUUGUUGGCUAAGCAGUCCUUGAAAUUUGAAGGGAGCGUGUGUAAGUCUGUAGUAAUUGGCAGUGCAAACAUGAUCAGCCUAUUGAUGAUGUAGUACUUAAUAUGAUGAUUAUCUGGUUUACUUGUUGUAUUUUAUUGCGCAUAGUAGACCACCAUGCAUCACCAGGCAGGUAAAAAUGUUACAUCAGGGGGCUUUCAUGAGCUAAUUGCACAAUUCUUUAAGCUAUGCUCUGAACGUUAGUGGCCUUAUUUAAGCUUUGUAGGUUGCAGUGUAAUGUGAAGAUUCCAAGGGAUAUCAAGCUUUAAAUUGGGAUCAUUUGCAAAGCGGAAAUAUAGAGAUCGACAUCUGAUGGGAAGGAACAUGUCGAAUAUAACAGCCAAACAAGGAAGGGACAUGAGGCUGUAAUAUCAUUUUCGUUCUCAUUUCUUGUAGGAAGUCACAAAUAGGAGUGAUGGUGGAAAUAUAACUGCCACUUUGUACCUUUAUGUUUUUCUGAAAGAACUUUGAGCUACCGUUAGUUUCUUUUCCUGGUUCGUAAUCGGUAUAUACAGUUACCACACAAUCAUGAUCACCAAUGUUCACAACUGUCUGAAUCGUGUGAUUCAAAGCAGAACCCAUAUGAUUGCCACCCAUGCAUGUAAUGUGUUAUCUGCAGUAUAUCUCAAUUUUGAAUGUGACAUGUCCUGUAUGUAUGUUAACUUCAGAUUUUUGUCAA